rnacentral:rRNA from 1 species
GGGUCUGCGGCAGCUUACACAUGCAGUCGAGGGGCAGCACGUCUUCGGAUGGUGGCGACCGGCGCACGGGUGCGUAACGCGUAUACAAUCUACCUUUUACAGAGAGAUACCCCAGAGAAAUUUGGAAUAAUACCUCAUAAUAUUGUUAAUUGGCAUCAAUUGACAAUUAAAGUUUCGGCGGUAAGAGAUGAGUAUGCGUCCUAUUAGCUAGUUGGUAAGGUAACGGCUUACCAAGGCGACGAUAGGUAGGGGUCCUGAGAGGGAGAUCCCCCACACUGGUACUGAGACACGGACCAGACUCCUACGGGAGGCAGCAGUGAGGAAUAUUGGUCAAUGGGCGAAAGCCUGAACCAGCCAUGCCGCGUGCAGGAAGACUGCCCUAUGGGCUGUAAACUGCUUUUAUACAGGAAGAAACACUCGGACGUGUCCGAGCUUGACGGUACUGUAUGAAUAAGCACCGGCUAACUCCGUGCCAGCAGCCGCGGUAAUACGGAGGGUGCAAGCGUUAUCCGGAAUCAUUGGGUUUAAAGGGUCCGUAGGCGGAUUAAUAAGUCAGGGGUGAAAUCCCACAGCUUAACUGUGGAACUGCCUUUGAUACUGUUAGUCUUGAGUUAUAUGGAAGUAGAUAGAAUGUGUAGUGUAGCGGUGAAAUGCAUAGAUAUUACACAGAAUACCGAUUGCGAAGGCAGUCUACUACGUAUAUACUGACGCUAAUGGACGAAAGCGUGGGGAGCGGACAGGAUUAGAUACCCUGGGUAGUCCACGCCGUAAACGAUGGACACUAGUUGUUGGAGCAACUCAGUGACUAAGCGAAAGUGAUAAGUGUCCCACCUGGGGAGUACGAUCGCAAGAUUGAAACUCAAAGGAAUUGACGGGGGCCCGCACAAGCGGUGGAGCAUGUGGUUUAAUUCGACGAUACGCGAGGAACCUUACCAGGGCUAAAUGUAGGUUGCAUAGACAGAGAUGUUUAUUUCUCCGGGACUACUUACAGGUGCUGCAUGGUUGUCGUCAGCUCGUGC